CUGUUCUAUCGUAGAUGGGCCUAUUUAUGCCGGAGUUGUUAAUCCGGUAGGGUGGCUCGUCAAGAGCGUUGAGGGGCGAGGGGUCAGCAAAAUUGGAAAUCUCGUUCAUGUCGAUCCAUAAGCCAUCGACGGGGAUAAUUUGUCGGAAUAUCGCGAUCUCUCGGGCCCAGAACACAGCUGCAGCUGGGUUCAGGAAAUCCGGGAAAUAGACCGGCCCUGGCCACACGUUUCCCACGAAGGAAGUUCACGGGGUCGAGGGUGAAGUCCUUGAACCCAUCCAUGUAGUCGAUAUCGGUCCACAUUACUUCGAGAGGGAUCUUGGCUUUGGCAUAGCCCGCGACGACGUCUUUGAGGUCUGAUACAUCCUUGAACUUGUAAUGGCACUGGUGAAAUCCUAGAGCAUAGAAAAAUUUUCUAGUUUUGUUCCUUGAUAUAUAGUACCAGAAAUUUUAGCAACUUUGUUUGGUAGACAUUUGAUUUUUUGCUUUUCCAAUAAAGAAGCUGUUUCAGAAACCUUA